GGAAACGGUAGCUAAUACCGCAUAACGUCGCAAGACCAAAGAGGGGGACCUUCGGGCCUCUUGCCAUCAGAUGUGCCCAGAUGGGAUUAGCUAGUAGGUGGGGUAACGGCUCACCUAGGCGACGAUCCCUAGCUGGUCUGAGAGGAUGACCAGCCACACUGGAACUGAGACACGGUCCAGACUCCUACGGGAGGCAGCAGUGGGGAAUAUUGCACAAUGGGCGCAAGCCUGAUGCAGCCAUGCCGCGUGUAUGAAGAAGGCCUUCGGGUUGUAAAGUACUUUCAGCGGGGAGGAAGGUGAUGAGGUUAAUAACCUCGUCAAUUGACGUUACCCGCAGAAGAAGCACCGGCUAACUCCGUGCCAGCAGCCGCGGUAAUACGGAGGGUGCAAGCGUUAAUCGGAAUUACUGGGCGUAAAGCGCACGCAGGCGGUCUGUCAAGUCGGAUGUGAAAUCCCCGGGCUCAACCUGGGAACUGCAU
rnacentral:rRNA from 1 species